AUGUUGUUUGGGCUGAGCUGGGCUUUCCUUGUUACUAUUUUAAGAGGUGUGCAGUAUGAGGUGCAGCUGGUAGAGUCU